rnacentral:rRNA from 1 species
CACUGACCGUGAUAAUGUAGCGUAAUCAAUAGCCAAUUAAUUGUUGGCCGGUAUGAAUGGCAUCACGAAGGCCCCACUGUCUUAAGAGGACUCUCCAUGAAAUUGAAUUGUAGUGAAGAUGCUACGUCCAUAUUGUAAGACGAAAAGACCCCAUUGAGCUUUACUAAAGACUUGUAUGGCUCGAAAUGACUUAAAUAAAAAGUUUAGAUAAUGUGGGAUCCGUUUUUGGUUAAUGAAACACCACUCUUUUAUUUUAAGAGAGCUAACCUUGUAGGGAGAAUGCAAGUUGGAUAGUUUGGUUGGGGCGACCGCCUUUUAAAAAGUAACGAAGGUGAACUUAAGGUCCGUAGUUAAUAGCUUGUGGCCUGACUGCAAGGGGGACAUCCCGAGCAGACACUGGAAAUUUCUCAGUGGGUUA